ACGUUUGUUACUGAGCAGAUAAAAACAGGAAACAAGUCAAAAGACGCCGCCGAUCGAUCGUUAAUUAAUUUAUUAUUUAUCCAACAAACUCAUCUGUCUGCUGACGACUGUCACAGCUACAAUCUAAUGUCAACACUGCUGCAACUAAUAAUCCACGAGACCAGGCUGCAACUUAACAUCAACAUUAGUGGGGACACAAAGUAACCCUUUAAAACUGACUUCCUGUCGGCGGCUGCAGGAGCUCGUUGUUUACAUCCUGUUUAAACUCAUUUAAAUAUUUAUUUAUUUAUUUAUUUAAACAGGAAAAAAAACUUAAGAUUAAAACUGUUUGCAGUGUCCUGGCUGAGACAGACAGCAGCAUCAGUUAGAGACAGACAACAUGGAACAAACCUAGAAAAUAAAGAAUAUGAAGCUGUGAAGCAUGAAAUGAGGCGAUGACAAAGAAAAAAGCCAAAACCUAAGAUAACAUCUGCAGAAACAUGAAACAGUGGGACGACACAUGACGACACAUGACGACACAUGACGACACAUGACGACACAGAGCAGCUCAAAUCCACCCUGACAUCAGCAUAUACAUGACUGCGUAUGGAAACCCUGCAGCAGAGGAGCCAAUGAGAGACACGUCUGCAGACGAGUCCACAGAUCAGGACCUGCAGACAGAAACACUUGUACGAACUCUCGGUACAGAAAAUAAAAACAUGUUCCGUGAACACAGAAAAUAAAAUCCAUAACAGGUAGAAAACUUUCCUGCUCAGGCUUCUGCUUUCUGUGUCAUCAUGUACACUCAUAAUGAUGUCAUGGCGCUACGUAUUUCAUCAUUUCCUGCUUUUGGUGAAGUGUGAUGCAUCACUUUAUGGAGAUAAUGCUCAUUAAUGUCUUUAUAUAAGAAAAACAGGUGACAGAUGAUUGAAAAUCUAAAAUCAGAACAUAACGCAGUGACGCUCUCAGACACUGUUCUCUCUGCUGAGUCAGCUCACGUUACUCUCCCAUCCUCCUUUGUGACUUCUGAUUGAGGAAGUCGCCUCUUUAAACGUGCAGCUGACACCUCGUUACAUCAUCGAUAUGUUUAGUGAUCUUAGUCAACAUCAUCCUCACUGUGACCUCGUCACAUGUCCACGUUUGGUCAUGGACUUUCCACGUCCACAUAUGACGUCCAAGGUACCCUGGGUGUGUUGGUUGUUGACGUUCUGGGACGCCGUGUCAACUUCAGCCUGUUACAUGCAUUGUCUGUUUUCAAAAUACACUUCUGUUUUCACAGGAUACAGAAUAAAUAAAAGCACUAUGUCGGUACAACACGCAAAUUUACGUUUUUUCCUUCAACAACACACACGUGGUUGGGUUCAGGAAAAAAAAACAGGCUGUGGCUUCACAAUUUUUGAGGGCAUGAACACCGCUGUCUCAGGUGAAAGUCAGUGUUGUAGAAACUGAUAUUUAAUAAUGUCUCAUGGCGAGCAACAGUUUGUUUUUUUGUCCGCAUGUACAUUUCUAGCGUGGAUCCUAUGCCCUGUCCACGGGUGUUCUCCCCGUGUCAGCGUGGGUUUCCUCCAGGUGCUCUGACAUGUUCUCCCCGUGUCAGCGUGGGUUUCCUCCAGGUGCUCUGACAUGUUCUCCCCGUGUCAGCGUGGGUUUCCUCCAGGUGCUCUGACAUGUUCUCCCCGUGUCAGCGUGGGUUUCCUCCAGGUGCUCUGACAUGUUCUCCCCGUGUCAGCGUGGGUUUCCUCCAGGUGCUCUGACAUGUUCUCCCUGUGUCAGUGUGGGUUUCCUCCAGGUGCUCUGACAUGUUCUCCCUGUGUCAGCGUGGGUUUCCUCCAGGUGCUCUGACAUGUUCUCCCUGUGUCAGCGUGGGUUUCCUCCAGGUGCUCUGACAUGUUCUCCCUGUGUCAGUGUGGGUUUCCUCCAGGUGCUCUGACAUGUUCUCCCUGUGUCAGCGUGGGUUUCCUCCAGGUGCUCUGACAUGUUCUCCCUGUGUCAGCGUGGGUUUCCUCCAGGUGCUCCGACAUGUUCUCCCUGUGUCAGCGUGGGUUUCCUCCAGGUGCUCUGACAUGUUCUCCCUGUGUCAGUGUGGGUUUCCUCCAGGUGCUCUGACAUGUUCUCCCUGUGUCAGCGUGGGUUUCCUCCAGGUGCUCUGACAUGUUCUCCC